rnacentral:piRNA from 1 species
UGAAACUCACUUAGUGGCUCUUGUGUGA